GAUGAACGCUGACAGAAUGCUUAACACAUCAGCAAUUGAUUGGUGGCGUACGGGUGAGUAACGCGUAAAGAACUUGCCUCACAGGUAGGGACAACAUUUGGAAACUAAUGCUAAUACCUAAGUCUGUGGUAUAGCGUUGCGUCCCAGUAGCUAGUGGGAGAGGUAACGGCUCACCAAGUCGAUGAUGGGUAGCCGGCCUGCGAGGGUGAUCGGCCCCAAGGGGACUGAGACACGGCCCUUAGUCCUACGGGAGGCAGCAGUGGGGAGUAUUCGACAAUGGACCAAAGUCUGAUCAAGCUAUUCUGUGUGCACGAUGAAGUUUUCGGAAUGUAAAGUGCUUUCAGUUGGGAAGCGGUCCCAACACCCGAAGUGACGGCUAAAUACGUGCCAGCAGCCGCGGUAAUUC
rnacentral:rRNA from 1 species